rnacentral:misc_RNA from 1 species
CUAAGACACACGCUGCAUUCUGCAAAUGAGGAUUUUGUCAAAAAACAGAUUCUAAAGGAGAAAAGAAGGGGCAGAGGUUUGGCGGGAGGAAAGAAAUCAGUCACCAUUUUCCCUCUAUUAAGAAAACAUCUGUUUCUGCUGAACCACCAAAAGUGUAGGAUGACUUAACUAAUAACAAUAAUAAUAAAAAUAAAUUAUAGAGAGAGAGAGAGAGAG